UUUCAGGCCUUCUUUUUAUAGGGAAGAGACAGAAAAGCAACCUCUCCGGCCCUUAAAAGUCAGAGGAAGGGUCGCCAUCGGUUCCGCGGGAACGCGGGUGGGAAGGCGAGACGGGUGGCGACCAAACCUGACCCGCCCCUGCAGCUCCCAAAACGGAAGCCAGGGAGUUUUCGCCUGUGCACCGAGGGACGCCGUGCUCCGUUGCCAGCGGUUCUUUUCCUAACAGCUCUCAAGAGAAACAUCAGCAUAGUAUGGCAGGCUCCUCUCAGCUUUAUAAGAAAAGUACAUUUCCUCCACUUUUGGACUCUUACUUGCCUCUUAAUUGCCAGAAUCAGAACAGAGCAAAUUGGCAAAAACCAGAAAAAGACAAAAAGGAGCAGAUAAGGAACAACAGCCGUCUUUUAAGUGAGGAAGAAAAGGAUGAACUCCUCAGGCAAGCUCUGCUGGAAAAGCAUCAUCUUGAAACCUACAAGAAUCUUUAUAAGAUAAGAAAUAUCUUAUAUGAACGCUACAAGGCUUUAUUGAAUGAGAAAGUGCUAAAGCAAAGAAUUCAGAUCAAGGCAUUUGAUCUCAGACAACAACAACAACUUAAACACAAAGAACAAAAGUGUAGUCCUCGUCGUAAACUUCCUUUCUGCAAGCUGUCUCAUGAUACGAAGUACCUGGAGUCCAUUUCACAGUCAAACAGCUACUGGGUUACUGGAUUGCAGAAUGAACUAACUAAACUUGGAAUUAUAAAGAACCAGCAAGAUUAUGAAAGCUUUUGGAAACUUGCUUGGGAGGAUGUUCCUGGCUCAAAGAUCAAGGAGAAGCUUCCUGAUAUAAAAGCAAGAAUGUUUGCUGCUAAAUCUUUACUUUUCUCUACUUCAACUGGAAUCAAGCCACUCCAACAAGUUAAAAGCUUUCCAAACAACAGGGUGAAAAAAGAAGCCAGUCGUGAUAAUACAAAUCUUGAGGACCACUGUGCUAAGACUGCAACUCUUUUGUUGCAGUCUGUGGAUAUUUGCCAGCCAUCAACUUCUAUGAAAAUGAAGAUGAAAAGCCAACAGCAAAUGGAGCAAAUGUUUUCCAAGGUCCUGCUUUCUGAUGUGCGGAAAGAGCAAUGGGAGCCACUGAAAUCUCAGCAGGUGGCGCAUUUUUCAGCUCUUCUUCACCAGAAGGAAUCAGAUAAAAGAAGGAAACGUGAAAUGCGUCUUCAUCGUCUGCAUCAUUUGUAUUACUUUUCCCUUAUUAAAAUGGCACUGUCCAAGAGGCUCCUAAACCAAAAUGGUCAGUUUGCAGAUGUCAGGAAAGAGCAAAGUGUCCAUGAUCUGAUGGAGUAUUUGUUUCCAAAUUAUCAUGAACAUUCCGGACUGAAAUGCAAUAAGAGGGUAAUAGAAGAAAACACAAUUCCAUGUGUAAUUCAUGCAAAGCAGCAAGAAAUGCAUCAGAAAGACUCUCCCAAAGUGCUCAGUAUUCCAAAAGAAAAGAACAUAUUGUUGAAGCAAGAGAAACAUAUUGAUGUGAGUGCUACAUGUUUUGCCUGACAGGGUUGAAGAUGAGAAGUCAUCUGCUGUUGGUGAGAAAAACAUUAUUGCUAUGCCUUUAUCUCUGGAAGAUGCAGCCCUUUACCAUCCUGUAAUGGAACCCAAGCAAAUAGGCAAAUAUUGGACAAACUACACUGGCAAAAAUCUCUUCAACCAUGAAAAAUAUUAACUAAAUAUUUGGUCCUGUGAAAACAUGCUAUGGAUACUUUGAUCAACAUGAUUUAUGACUGUUAUGUGUAUUGUAUCCUUCUCAUGCCACUCUUUCAUUGUAAUUCUCUAAAUAUGACUUUUUAUACAUAUUCGUUCUUACUAAUUAUACGAAUAUUAAUCAUAUUUGUAAUUGUUCCAUUGCUAUCAUGGUAUUGCUAAGGUCUCUGAGAGCAUCAGUACAGUUCUUUGUAUUUUCCAGUAAAUAUAUUUCAAAUAAAUUCCAUUCAGUGCAAGCUGAUACUCUUAAUUCACAUUUUCAUGAAUGAAGAGGAAGAGCCUUGAAUGAAUGUGCUUCACUGACUGUCUGCUCUUAAACAUGCUUUCUGGCCAGUGUAUCCAUAUGCAAAGGAUUCUCUCUCAGAUAUUCUUUUAGCUCUGAUCUUAUUGCCUUCUCCACAUCUUUGCAAGAGGUGAUGAAAAACUUACCAGGUUGGCUUGAAUUCAUGCCUCAUAAGUACUGUUAGAAGUAAAUCUUCAUCCUGGUUCAUCCAAGCUGGGAAUAAAUAAGCAACAUGACGACUGCUUUGGGAAGACUGUUACAGUUUAUUGAAGAAGCAGAAAGAUGGUCCUUGCAGGAAAGAGCAGAGGAGAGAAGGGCUGAGCACAUGGGCAGUAGAUUUUUAUACCCCUCCAACUUUCUGAUGGUUUUACAUCUGCAUUUGUAUAGGGCUGGCUCUUGCUUGCGGCAAAGAUUUGAGGCCAGGAUUGGUUUCUGGUUUUAAAAAUCCUUUUGAGGAAAAAUAUAUUUUUCUGCCCUUUUAAUAUUUCCUUCUCUGGGCUAACUUCCCUUAGUACCAUGUGCUCUUUUUCACGAAAUUAACAGUUUUUGAACAGAGAGUUUUUGCACUCAGCAAACUGAUCAAACUGAUCCAAGUUAUCUGCUUUUGUACUCCGGUCUGCUGGGUAGCUAUAGCAUGUGGGGGUUCCAUGAUGAAAGGCAGAGUGGCAGGGAAAUAGGGAGACUGGAUUGGGGUCAGCUCUUUACUCCUAUCCCUAUUCUUAGAUUUUUGAAAGCUGAUUCGAGCUGAAGAGGACUUUACAGUUUACAAAUUCUCCACUUUUCCUUUCUAUGACUCAUGAGGGGGUUUGGAUCAUGGAUAAUAAUAAUAAUAAUAAUAAUAAUAAUAAUAAUAAUAAUAAUAAUAAUAAAAAGUUGGAAGGGACCUUGGAGAUCAUCUAGUCCAACCCCCUGUUCAGGCAGGAAACCCUAUACCA